UCGCGGGCGCAGGCGGCGGGCCUCCCUCGCCGGGGCGCUGCAUCUGGGCCAGUCCCGCCCGCAGCGCCGGCCCUCCAGGCUGCAGACGGAGCUCCGGCUCCCUGGCUAGAAGCCCGCGGUGGACUUUGAAAGCCGCCCAAGUUAGUGACCAGACUGCACCUUGCGGCCUGUUCUAGAGUUCACGUUGGCGGGGCUCCUUAUUAUAUUAAUGUAUCAUAAUAAUAAUAAUAAUUUAUUAUUUAUACCCCGCCCAUCUGGCUGGGCCUCCCCAGCCACUCUGGGCUGCUUCCAUAGAAACCAAAAAUACUGUACACUAAAAUAUCACACGUUAAAAACUUCCCUGAACAGGGCUGCCUUCAGAUGUCUUCUGAAUGUCAGGUAGUUGUUUAUCGCUUUACAUCUGCUGGGAGGGCGUUCCACAGGGCGGGCGCCACCACCGAGAAGGCCCUCUGCCUGGUUCCCUGUAACUUGGCUUCUUGCAGUGAGGGAACCGGCAGAAGGCCCUCGGUGCUGGACCUCAGUAUCCGGGCUGAACAAUGGGGGAGGAGACACUCCUUCAGAUAUACUGGACCGAGGCCGUUUAGGGCUUUAAAGGUCAGCACCAACACUUUGAAUUGUGCUCGGAAACGUACUGGGAGCCAAUGUAGGUCUUUCAAGACCGGUGUUAUGUGGUCUUGGCGGCCGCUCCCAGUCACCAGUCUAGCUGCCGCGUUCUGGAUUAGUUGUAGUUUCCGAGUCACCUUCAAAGGUGAAGUAGAGCGCACGUAGAGCGCAUUGCAGGAGUCCAAGCGGGAGAUAACCAGAGCAUGCAGAUAGGGUCUCAGCCUACGUACCAGAUGGAGCUGGUAAACAGCUGCCCUGGACACAGAUUUGACCUGUGCCUCCAUGGACAGCUGUGAGUCCAAAAUGACUUCCAGGCUGCGCACCUGGUCCUUCAGGGGCACAGUUACCCCAUUCAGGACCAGGGAAUCCUCCACACCUGCCCGCCUCCUGUCCCCCAAAAACAGUACUUCUGUCUUGUCAGGAUUCAGCCUCAAUCUGUUAGCCGCCAUCCAUCCUCCAACCGCCUCCAGGCACUCACACAGGACCUUCACCGCCUUCACUGGUUCUGAUUUUAAAGAGAGGUAGAGCUGGGUAUCAUCUGCAUACUGAUGAACAUCCAGCCCAAACCUCCUGAUGAUCUCUCCCAGCGGCUGCAUGUAAAUGUUGAAAAGCAUGGGGGAGAGGACAGAACCCUGAGGCACCCCACAAGUGAGGGCCCAGGGGUCUGAACACUCAUCCCCCACACCACUUUCUGAGCACGGCCCAGGAGGAAGGAGCGGAACCACUGUAUGACAGUGCCCCCAGCUCCCAGCCCCUCAAGACAGUCCAGAAGGAUGUUAUGGUCGAUGGUGUUAAAGGCCGCUGAGAGAUCCAGCAGAACUAGGAAACAGCUCUCACCUUUGUCCCUAGCCCGCCGCAGAUCAUCAACCAGUGCAACCAAGGCAGUUUCAGUCCCAUGAUGAGGCCUGAAUCCUGACUGGAAGGGAUCCAAAUGGUAUGAACUCAAGGUGGCUUACUAUUAAAACAAACAGCUUAGAACAUACAAAAAUCAAUCAUUAAAAACGGAUUGGUACAAUUAAAAUACAUACAUAUAAAAAGAUCACAUACAGGUAGUUACAAUAAAAACACAGCACCAGCCCUUUCCUUACACAUUGACUGUGAUGUAGGCCCAACUGUAUUCAUCGGAUUUCACACAUUCUCAUUGCCAUAGACUUAUUUAUGCUUUUCAACUUAUCAAGAGUAUCCAGCUUGUUAAUCAAAAGCCUCCCUGGUGCAGCUGGUUGAAGUAAGUGUAUGUUGUCAUGCACACUGAUGGUGCAAUAGGAUUAUUAUUUUUUAAGAUUUGUGAUUCUCUUUAAGACAAGUGAUUCUCAAAGUGGCUUACCAAAAAAACAAACAUACACAAUUCAGCCCAGCAAUGCUCUAAUCUGCCGGCUGGUGUGUGCCCUGCUUCAGCUCUGCAGGUCAAAAAUAGUAUUUUUAAAAUGAUUAAACAUUGGCAACCCACACACAAAACAGCCCAGUGAGGACUGGGUAUGUACCAGGAGCUACAGGGAAAAAAGGUGGAAACCAAGAGGGGGUGAAGGUGAAUUGGGCUGUGUGAGCCCCUAACACCAAUAGUAUUCCAAAGGAAGGCAUGGUUGCCUUGCUGGCUGGAACCCUGAACAGAAUGGCUGUUAGGGGCUGAGGACAUACUGCUACAUUUUGAUGCAUGUCCUGCUUUUAAUGUAUAUUAUUCAGUACAACAAUCUUGGAAAGGAAGGUCGUUAUUCCCAUUGUACAGAUUUUAACUAGUUGUAACUAGGAAACCAUGUGCUUUAAAUGUGCAGGGGUAUGGAGGUAACAAAUUGUCAUGAAUGCACAAUAUAAAGGACAUCUGGAGGGGCCCUUAGCAAAAGCCACGUUGUGCACCCAGGGCUAAGCUGAGAUUUGGACCCAGAUCUCCCAUUCGGCACCAUAUUCAUUAAAGACCACAUCAGCUAUUGCAAACAGAGAUUUGGGGAAGAAAAGAAAAGAAAGUUUCAAUGUGGCUGAUACGGAUUGAGCCAAGCCAGUGCUCUGUUGCAAGGAACACAUUAAGAACCUCUGAAACCUGAUGCAGCUUGAAGGCAGUUUGGGUUGGAUGACAUGGAGCACAGCUGUGGGCUUGUCAGCCAAGGUCAACACAACUCUGUUGGCCCCGUGGGUGGGGGAACACAAAGGAGUGCCCAUUCUCACACCUGGCCAGGGUCCACAUGGUUUGUUUCUUGGUUAACCAUACUUUCUCAGUCCCCACAAGGCAUUCCUGCCUCUUCAUAGCCUAGUCAGAAGUAUCCUGUAUCCCUGAGCAAGGACCCUUCAGGAAGAACACAAGAGCUUUUGUAUUCCACUUUCUUGCAUGUCUACCCAGAAUAAAAAAUGCAUGGGCCUUUGGUUACCAAAUUGAAACGAGGUCUCUCUCCCACCCCCUUCAGCCAAUUUCUGGAAGCUGUGCUUGGCAUAUCUUGCCAAAACCAAGAAACCCAACAUUUGUAUCUAAGUGGAACAUACAGUAAAUCUCUCCCAUUCCCUCUGCUUGCAUCUGCUUGAAACUUGGAGGGGGCCCUCCUGUUCAUCUGUGCGUAGGUGGCUGGAACAGGGUCAGAAAGACCAGACGUUAAGCUUCUCCCCCCCUCCUGCCCCGCUACUGCAGGACCUGCCAAUUGUCUAAGUGACCCAGCAACUUCAAAGACCAGUCAUGCAACACCAGCCUAGUAUGGUAUCCCCAUUUCCAGAGGACAGAUUUACUACUCCUUCAGCCGACGCCCCUUCCUCAAGAGCCAGCACAAGCCCCAUUAAGUCUGCAGAGCCCAUUUCAGAUUUGGAGGCUCCUUCAUUUGCCUGCGUGAUUUAUGAGCUUUCAGGAGUUUUUAAGGAAUUGAGCGUCUUUAACUUGGGAUUUGAAUUUCAUUGGAAAAUAUGAAAGUGAUUAAGAGGAUAGCUCCUUGGAAUGUGGCUUGCGUUCCAGUGCAUGGAGAAAGCAGAUGAGACAGAUCAAUUCCAAAACCGAUGACAUGCCUAAAUUUACUCAUGAAACUCAAGAGAGACAAGAACCGGGCACAACUGCAGCCACAUGGGCAGAGCUGUGUGCUGCCACAAUGUUAAAGGGCUAUGGCAGCUUCCUGAGUUCAAAACCCAGCAGAUACGAUUGCCACCCUGCCUGUGGCAUCGCAGAACAAGCCACAAAGGCCCAUCUGCACUAUAUAUUUAAAGCAGUAUCAUACCACUUUAAAUAACCUUGGCUUCCCCCAAAUAAUCCUUGGAACUAUAGUCAGUUAAAGGCGCUGAGAAUUGUUUGGAGACCCCAGUCCACCUUACGGAACUACAAUUCUCAAAGUGUUUUGACAACCCCUCUCUUUUAGCCCUGUGUGUGGACAGGCCAUUUGUAAUAUAGACAGCUUAGUUUUGGCUACAUAAUGAUGUGGAGCCAAUCCAGCCAUCCUUUUUGUUGUGCAUUUGUGAUGAUUUGUGCUCACGAUGCUGUCAGGGUGGAUAGAUGUGAUCCGGCUUUCAACGCUGUUUGGGCCUGCAAAUGUUUCAGGGUGGCCCUGCUGCUUUGCUUCCAGUCUGUGCUUGUUCCAUAGCUUUCUGAUGAAAUCCUGUCACUUUCCAGACCACAAAUGUUCUGGAGGGGGGAGGAUUGUCUUGUUUUUGCUGCCCCUCCAGACUGCAAUAAUGUUGUAACACUGGGGCAUCACAGAACAACUAAUAAAGUUGAAUGGGGUGUGGAUGGUCCAGUAUAAAUCCACCACGAAUGUGCUAUUAUUGUGUCAAUGACAUAUUGCAGAAGUGCACCCACAAAAAGGCCCUGUCCUGAGGGGCCCCUGACAUUCAGAGAAUGAGCGAGCUGCCUUACCGUAGAAGGGGAGUUUUGUUGGGGAAAAUUUGUUUUUUAAAAGUGAUUGUUUUGUUCAUUUGUUUUCUUCUUUUUUAAUUAAAUUGUUUUGUUUUGUUUUGUUUCAUAUAGCAAUACAGAUGUCUGAGAGAUACAGAAACUAUCAAUGGCUUGCCUGUUUGACAUCGUACAGUCCACAACUUAAGAAAGAAAAUAAUGCAGAGUGAAGAAAUUGUUAUUUCACAGAGAUAAAAACAAUGCUAUGAAUAAUAAGAGCAUGAUUCCAUGGAAGUACAGCAGAGUCGUCAAUAAUUAGUCCUGGAAUACAAUCAAAACUAGAUAACACUAUACUUUGCAGGAACUAGGUUUUUUUUUAAGACUGAAGGUUCUUUUUUUAAAAAAAACUUUGGAUGUGUGUGUGAAUGGCCAGUUCAGGGCACAAGGAAAGCGAGCGGCCCAGUUUCCCCCCAACAGCACUUGUUAUAGAUCCUUGAAAACAUUUGAGAGGCACUUAACAGCAUGUAUCUGUCCUUUAGUUUCAAAUCAAUUGGAUCAAUGUGGCGAGCAUCAUGAGGCCAUAUGGAUUUGUGACAUACACCCAUAACCCUUGCAAAACAGAAAUCAAUUAAUUACCAUCUUCUAUCCAUAAAAUUUCCUUCUUUUGAGACAGAUAACACGUUGUGGAUGUUCUCCAGAUUCAUAGAAUCAUAGAAUUGUAGAUAUUUGCUUUUUGUCAGCAGAGCACAAUGUUCAAAAUAGAGAUAAUGAAAUAAAUUAUGGUAAAUUGUCUAUAUUACAAGUGGGCAACCUGUGACUCAGGAAACACAUAUUCCUCCUAUUUUUAUUUUAUUUUUAUUAUUAUCCUUGGUUCCUCCAAGCAGUUCAAGUUGGUCGCAUGGUUCUCCCCACUCUCAAUUUUAUCCUCAAGGUGGGCUUGAUUGAGAGGCAGCAACUGACCCAAGGUCACCAUUGACUGAAUGAGGAUUUGAACCCUAGGGCCGUAUCCAAUAUUAGUCCUGCUCAGAGUAAAGGUAAAGGGACCCCUGACCAUUAGGUCCAGUCAUGGCCAACUCAGGUUGCGGCGCUCAUCUCGCUUUAUUGGCCAAGGGAGCUGGCGAACAGCUUCCGGGUCAUGUGGCCAGCAUGAUUAAGCCGCUUCUGGCGAACCAGAGUAGUGCAUGGAAACGCCGUUUACCUUCCCGCCAGAGCGGUACCUAUUUAUCUACUUGCACUUUGACGUGCUUUCGAACUGCUAGGUUGGCAGGAGCAGGGGCCGAGCAAUGGGAGCUCACCCCGUCACGGGGAUUCAAACCGCCGACCUUCUGAUCGGCAAGCCCUAGGCUCUGUGGUUUAACCCACAGUGCCACCCGUGUCCCCCCUACUCAGAGUAGGCUUAUUGAAAUUAGUGGGCAUGACUAUCUCAAUUCAUGUAUUGUUUCAGGAAGUGCGAUUUAGGUAGGUUCACCUUUAAAUAAGAACUGAAUCAAAUUUCUUCCCUAAUAGAGGACACUUUCAACUCCUGCUGUAAACUAAAAAAAGAGAGUAGUAAUAUGAUAGAUAUGCUGCCUCCUGAUUUCAGCCACAAAUCCACAGACACACCUUGGUGGAUCACCUAAAUAAAACUAAUGAAUCAGAUUCCUGGAAAUAUGCUAAUAUUACAUUGAUACCAAGGCAAGAUCACAAUCCAACUCAGAUUGGACUAUAGACCCAUUUCCUUGAUCAACUGUGACUACAAACUGUAGUAAUAUUAGCUAGGAGACAAAUUAGUUUUAAAGGAUUAGAUACAUGAAGAUAAAGCUGGAUUUCUCCCAAAAAGAGCAAUAAAGGACAAUGUUAGAACUAUAUUAGAUACUGUAGAAUAUUUUGAAAAGAGAAAUGAUAAGCAAUUAGAUGCAGAGAAGGUGUUCAAUAAUGUGUUUUUUUGGAGUUUCAUGGGGGAAAUAUUGGAUAUAAUGGGCUGGGGGGAGAAAAUUGUGAGAGGGAUAAAGGUAAUAUAUACAGAACAAAUUGCAAGUAUAAUAGUAAAUGGAGUGGUAACAGAAAAGUACACUAUUACAAAGGGCACGAGACAAGGUUGCCCACUAUCACCAUUAUUGUUUAUCUUGAUACUAGAAGUGCAUACAGGAGUACCUGGCAUGCUCUGGUCCAUGGGGUCACGAAGAGUCGGACACGCCUAAACAACAAGAAGUGUUAUGGAGGGAAUUAAGGGGAAAUAGUGAAAUACAAGGUAUGCAAGACUGUUGGAUCUAGAAGGAUAUGGGAACAAUUUGGGUGGCAUGCUUACCUAUGGUACGACAAGGUAAAAGGAAAUAGGGAUUUUUUGAGUCAUUGUAUAAGGAGAAGCUUAUAUUGAGUUUGGACUAGAUACAGAGAUUUAUUUGAAAGGAAAACCCCUUUAUGGUUAUCACCAAUAGUAGCUGGUACAUCAAAGAAAUUAAAUAUGGUGGAGAAGUGGGGUAAAUAUAGAGAUAUAGUGUGGAAAUCUCUGUAAAUUGAAAAAAGAAUAUGAAGACACGAGAUCUUCAUGGAGAUCAAAUUGGUUAUAAUAUCAAAUUAAUGAAUAUUUUUUAAAAGAUUUAGUAAAAGGUUUUACGGACCAAGUAUCUGAUUUUUAAAAGAUUUUGCUUGGAGGAAGAAAAAAGCUGAUUUCAAAAAUGUAUAAACUAUUAUUAGAAUGGGAGAUGAAAGUUGAAAUGGUGAAAUAGGUAAUGAUAAAAUGGGCCAAAGAUUUAGGACCUAAUAUAGAAAUAAACACGUGGGGAAAGUUGUGGACAGUAGAUAUGAACUUCACUGCUUGCUAUGAUUUAAAAGAGAAUUAUAUGAAAAUGAUGUAUAGAUGGUAUUUAACACCAGAUAAAUGAUGUAAAAUGUAUAAGAAGGUCUCCAAUAACUGCUGGAAGUGUAAGCAAGCAGGUGCUCCUUUUUCAUAUAUGGUGGAUUUCCAAAAAAGGGUAUUUUGGAAUAAGAUAUACAAUGAGAUAAAAAAGAUGUUUAAAGUGAGUUUACC